ensembl:lncRNA
GAGUGUUCUUGCCUGGAGAAUCCCAGGGACGGGGGAGCCUGGUAGGAGGCCGUCUAUGGGGUCGCAAAGAGUUGGACACGACUGAAGCGACUUAGCAGCAGCAAUCAUUCGUUAGGUUCUGACCACUUGGGGGCUCAGCAUGUAGUUCCUGUCUUUCGCCCGGAUGAGGGGCUGAGUUCCUGCAGAACUCAAAGAUCUAUUGAUACUUCCCUGGGUUUGACUGGUUCUUCCUUGAUCCCAUCACAAGCAGUGGAAUUCAGUUUGCAAAUGAUGAAAAGUGAGUACUGUGGGAGAGAAUUUAGAAGAACCCCAACAACCCUCAGAAUAAGCGUCUUGAGUCAUGUUAACCAAGGACGGUGGGAUUCUGGACAUGUA